rnacentral:rRNA from 1 species
AUAGCGUAUAUUAAAGUUGUUGCAGUUAAAAAGCUCGUAGUUGAACUUUGGGCUUGGUUGGCCGGUCCGUUUUUAUGACGUGUACUGGUUCCAACCGAGCCUUUCCUUCUGGCUAACUAUCCUUUCGGGGGUAGCGAACCAGGACUUUUACUUUGAAAAAAUUAGAGUGUUCAAAGCAGGCCUUUGCUCGAAUAUAUUAGCAUGGAAUAAUAGAAUAGGACGUUUGGUUCUAUUUUGUUGGUUUCUAGGACCAUCGUAAUGAUUAAUAGGGACGGUCGGGGGCAUCAGUAUUCAAUUGUCAGAGGUGAAAUUCUUGGAUUUAUUGAAGACUAACUACUGCGAAAGCAUUUGCCAAGGACGUUUUCAUUAAUCAAGAACGAAAGUUAGGGGAUCGAAGAUGAUCAGAUACCGUCGUAGUCUUAACCAUAAACUAUGCCGACUAGGGAUCGGGUGUUGUUUUUUUAACGACUCACUCGGCACCUUACGAGAAAUCAAA